GAAAUGCGAUAAGUAAUGUGAAUUGCAGAAUUCAGUGAAUCAUCGAAUCUUUGAACGCACCUUGCGCUCCUUGGUAUUCCUUGGAGCAUGCCUGUUUGAGUAUCAUGAAAUCUUCAAAGUAAAUCUUUUGUUAACUCAAUUGGUUUCUACUUUGGUAUUGGAGGUCUUUGCAGCUUCACACCUGCUCCUCUUUGUUCAUUAGCUGGAUCUCAGUGUUAUGCUUGGUUCCACUCGGCGUGAUAAGUAUCUAUCGCUGAGGACACUGUAAAAGGUGGCCAAGGUAAAUGCAGAUGAACCGCUUCUAAUAGUCCAUUGACUUGGACAAUACUUUUAUGAUCUGAUCUCAAAUCAGGUAGGACUACCCGCUGCACUUAAGC
rnacentral:misc_RNA from 1 species